ensembl:lncRNA
GGACACUUUUCAAAAGUAAUAGAAUAAAAUAAUUUGAUUGUAGUCAGUGUUUAAAUGCUGAUUGACUUUUAUACAAUUACAAUCACGUUAUAACUUUUUUAGCAUAAUUAUAUCAUACUUCCAAUCUUUUUUUUUAGUUUCACUUACAUCUCUGGAGAGCCUAAACCAUCAGCUGUCUGCAUGUGGGUUUGGCCUGCAUAAAGAUCCUGACAGGAACUACAUCUUCAGAGUCAUGUACAGUGGGUGCUUUGUACAGUUGGAGGUAAAGCCUAAUAUUUCUGAAUUACAUAAAUAUAGCAAUGGUUGCUUUUCACUUUAUUAUACUUGUUCAGGUAUAGGAAAAGAUAAUUCACUACACUGCCAUGAAUUUAUUUACAAAACCAUCCAAUCUGCUUUUUCCAGCGUGGACAUUAUGUGAUUGCACUGAAUUUGAUGAAGAGAAUAAGCCGUUUUGGAGGAAGGGCACAUAAUUAUGUAAUGAAGUGUCCUGUAGUGGCAGCACCACCCAACAGAGAGCAUAUUCAGUGUGACCCUGAUUUCAUACAGGUAGGCUUUUAAAACCUUUUUUUAGGACUGUAUGACUUUUUUUACUGCAGCACAAAACAACCUGCAAGUUCUUCUAUGUCUACUUCUCUUCUUAAAUGUGUAACCACAUUUUUCCAAAGGUUACCAGAGAGAUCCCAAUGGACAGUUGGAACAAUGAGCUCACUUGGUCUAUUGCUUUGAGAGGACGUCUGGUGGUCGCACUGGAAGAUGCCAGUCUCAUUCAAGUAAACGCUGACAUACAGAAACCGUACAUUACUGUUCAAGGCCAGAGGAAUGUGGUUCUGAGUCCUGUACAGGUCAGUCAGUUAAAGCAGUGCUCGCAGUCUGGGUAUUAGGUACUUUAUUACCUAUUAAGUCUUUAUCAAGUGAAGUUGGAUUGUUAAAAGUUUCGUAAAGGCUGGUUUGGGAAUCUUCAAGUUAAAGUGUCAAAUAAUGUACCUAAUAUAUUCUUAAAUGUGGUGUACACUUUUAUGAGGCUGCCAGCUUUCAUAAAAAAGGUGUAGUCUGCCAUCUUGUGGUCAAAAGAGUGAAAUGUAACUUUGGCUGGCGUUUUUCUGACUUCAGUAUUCUAUGUAACAAAAUAUCUUUCAGUUCUACUUCCAAUCCAAUGUUUUUUUUUAGGUUCUACAAACAGAAGGUCAGUUCCUACCUCUCAAGCUGGUCAGUGGGAAUUAUGCCUAUAGCAUGGAGGCUACUUGCCCAAAUGGUGAGUAAUAUAAUAUUUACUUAAAAGUAGUUAUUAUUUUAAUUUAGGUCUGUGAAUCAAGUUAAUUUUGCUUUUUUCUAUGAUUCAGUGAAUCAGUACUCAUCUAAGGACACAGUACUGCACAUAUACAAGCGCCGCAUGGGUUUAACCAAGAGAGGAGGCUAUGAGAAUGAAACCUUGUCAGUCAGCAGUGUGUCUGUAAACCAGACAAACACAUUUACCUGGUCUGAAACCAGUGGCUUUGUGCAGCUCAUCAUACCCACAACACUUAUUCAGAAAAUUAAGGUGAAAGAACACACCAUAAUUAAAUAGGUUCCCAAUGCAUGUCAUGUGUAUGUUAUUUCUAACUAUUGUUGUGGUAUUUUUUUCUUUCAGAAUUGCCCCAAUGAAAAAUAUCCAAACCUCCAGCAGGCUGUUUUCAGAAUAGACGUCAUCCUCACUUUUAGAGAGACAAAUAACAAAAUGCUAUGGACUAUGGAGAACAAGUCACCCUGUUCAGGUUCGUAUCUGUCCCUGAAUUACAGUUUUACACCCCAAACCUCAAUUGUAGAUCAGAAAAUCUCCACUAUCUACACUAACGCAAACAUGUCAUGGUGUAUCAAUAUGUAAAUUGAUCGAGUGUUACCCCA